CUCUCCUCAGUCGUGGGCGUUUUGUCGUUCGCAUCCUCACGAGGACCAUUUUAUUGCUCAGAUACAUAAUUUCUAUUGGAACAUAAGGAAGUGGACAAGCAGAGCGAAAACUUGAAACUUGAAAGAUUAAGAAAAGGGUUAAAUUUAUUUGAAUCCGAGCCCAAGUCCUUCUGGCUCCAAAAUUCAAGGCCUUUCACCAAAGAAACCCAAAAACCUGGCUGACUUGAACUAGCUGGUUACCCCUGUGAGUGGCCACAACCUACUCGUCCUCACUACCUGAAUUUCUGAAUAAUACUCAUCUGGGAAUCCAGGGAUGAUGACCCUCUCAAGGUGAAAUGAAGUAACGAGAGAUGAAGUGCAAUCCCGUAGGUGACACGGGAAGUGGCAGAAACAUACUUUGAAAGUUUUGAUCUUGAAAUCUCUGUCUGCAGUCACCUUCCACAUCCAGAACCCCGUUUUCCUGUCUGGGUGCAACGUUGUGUUAAUUUGCCUCUUUCAAGAAGGAAUAUCUCUAAAGAUGGGGGAAUGGGAGUCCUCAGAGGAUGCUGUCUUCCAAAACUCAUGUCAUGUAAGAGAAACUUCUGUGAAAGCCAAAAAGGAAAUGAAACAUGACUAAUUAAGCAUGUAACCUAA